rnacentral:rRNA from 1 species
CGGUUAAGUUAGAAAGGGCGCACGGUGGAUGCCUUGGCACUAGGAGCCGAUGAAGGACGGGACGAACACCGAUAUGCUUCGGGGAGCUGUAAGCAAGCUUUGAUCCGGAGAUUUCCGAAUGGGGAAACCCACCACUCGUAAUGGAGUGGUAUCCAUAUCUGAAUUCAUAGGAUAUGAGAAGGCAGACCC